AGUGAACGCUGGCGGUAUGCUUAACACAUGCAAGUCGAACGGCAGCACAGUAAGUGCUUGCUCUUAUGGGUGGCGAGUGGCGUACGUGUCAGGAAUACAUCGGAAUCUACUCUUUCGUGGGGGAUAACGUAGGGAAACUUACGCUAAUACCGCAUACGACCUACGGGUGAAAGCAGGGGAUCUUCGGACCUUGCGCGAUUGAAUGCGCCGAUGUCGGAUUAGCUAGUUGUCGGGGUAAAGGCCCACCAAGGCGACGAUCCGUAGCUGGGCUGAGAGGGUGAUCAGCCACACUGGAACUGAGACACGGUCCAGACUCCUAAGGGAGGCAGCAGUGGGGAAUAUUGGAGAAUGGGCGCAAGCCUGAUCCAGCCAUACCGCGUGGGUGAAGAAGGCCUUCGGGUUGUAAAGCCCUUUUGUUGGGAAAGAAAAGCGGCAGGUUAAUACCGCGCUGUUCUGACGGUACCCAAAGAAGAAGCACCGGCUAACUUCGUG
rnacentral:rRNA from 1 species